rnacentral:rRNA from 1 species
CAGUCGACGGGGGCGGUACAUGCGAGGGAGUAGUUUACUAUGACCAGACAAGUGCCAUCCUAGUGGCGGACGGGUGAGUAACGCGUGGGCAACCUGCCCUGUACAGGGGGAUAACACUUAGAAAUAGGUGCUAAUACCGCAUGAGCGCACAAAGGCGCAUGCCUAUGUGCGGGAAGCCCGCGAGGGCGGUACGGGAUGGGCCCGCGUCUGAUUAGCCAGUUGGCAGGGUAACGGCCUACCAAAGCGACGAUCAGUAGCCGGCCUGAGAGGGUGGACGGCCACAUUGGGACUGAGACACGGCCCAAACUCCUACGGGAGGCAGCAGUGGGGGAUAUUGCACAAUGGGGGAAACCCUGAUGCAGCGACGCCGCGUGAGUGAAGGAGCGUUUCGGCGCGUAAAGCUCUAUCAGCAGGGAAGACAAACUGCCCCGGAAGGGGCAGCCGGACGGUACCUGACCAAGAAGCCCCGGCUAACUACGUGCCAGCAGCCGCGGUAAUACGUAGGGGGCAAGCGUUAUCCGGAUUUACUGGGUGUAAAGGGAGCGUAGACGGCAAGACAAGCCUGGAGUGAAAGGCGGGGGCCCAACCCCCGGACUGCUCUGGGAACUGUCUGGCUGGAGUGCAGGAGGGGUAAGUGGAAUUCCUAGUGUAGCGGUGAAAUGCGUAGAUAUUAGGAGGAACACCAGUGGCGAAGGCGGCUUACUGGACUGUAACUGACGUUGAGGCUCGAAAGCGUGGGGAGCAAACAGGAUUAGAUACCCUGGUAGUCCACGC